UCGGACAAGAUAGAAGCCAUGAACUGGUCAACAGCACGAGCUUCGUGGUUGAUAGCGGCUCCGGUAACCUCGCUGUCUUCAACAGUCGGGGACAGGUACGUUGCACCUGGAGGAGAGGUGGCGAAGUCCGAGGGGAAGGGCUACUCUGUGUUACACUUGGGGCCUUGCAACUUGAGCCAGUCUCCCGAUAAAAUAUUGGUGCUAUAGUGAUUUAUCAAAUCCAUUUGUAGGAUAGGAUUUGAAAUUUCAUUAGAUAAAGUUUAAAAGAUGUCAAUCAGAUAAAUUUCAGAUGAUGUUAA